ACAAAAGCUGAAAAUGAAUAAUAAUCAGAUAAUAAUAGAUGAAGAACUAUUUCGAUUUAUUCAAAGAAAAUAGAAGAAAGAGCUUAGAGAUUUAACUAGGACAAAAACGUGAAGAAAACAAGGUGUUUGACGAAAAGGCAGAAGUGUUCGAUGAAAAUAUUCAGAAACAAUUCUUGGUGGGUAUCUCAGAAUUCAUAACAUUGAUGACAAACGACUAAGCACGAUCAUGAUGAUUCAGAAUUGUUUUAAUCUAUUCUCCAAAAAAAAGUUUUAAUCCAAUUAAUUAUGUUGAAAUUUGUACGUAAGUCAGCAGCACAUUUUAGUUCAAUUAAAUAUGUUGAAGUUUAGUAACGUUUUUCAUCCAAUGCAUACUUGUUUCCAGCACAGGACUCAUAUGCUAAGUGCUAACAGACAUUCUUUCAAGUGGACAUCGUGUCCUUCCGAAGGCUAAAAUCUUGUUCUUUUGUUUGCAACCGAGAGAAUGAAAUGAAGUAGGGGAUAAAACUGUUGCGGAAGCGAGAGGUUGAGCAAUUACUAAUAUUACAGUGACUAUAAUUUCUAGAGAAAUAUAAAUAUGGUGUAAACAAAUGUAAAGAAAAAAAACACAAUAAAUUUUACGUGGUUCGGCGUAAAGCCUACAUUCACGGGAAAAAACUGGAAGAUAAUUUUACUAAUAAUGAGAAUUUACAAAAGUGGGAAAAAACUCACAAAACCCACAACCCCAAUACACCCAAAUGGAACUUCACUAGAAUACUCAAGUGGAAGCUCUCUCAAAUUCUCUCAAAGAGCUCACUUGCAAUUGCUCUCUACUUCUCUCAAAUUGGGAU
rnacentral:lncRNA from 1 species